rnacentral:rRNA from 1 species
AAAUAGAUACCCCCGGUAGUCCACGCCGUAAACGAUGAGUGCUAAGUGUUAGAGGGUUUCCGCCCUUUAGUGCUGCAGCUAACGCAUUAAGCACUCCGCCUGGGGAGUACGGUCGCAAGACUGAAACUCAAAGGAAUUGACGGGGGCCCGCACAAGCGGUGGAGCAUGUGGUUUAAUUCGAAGCAACGCGAAGAACCUUACCAGGUCUUGACAUCCUCUGACAACUCUAGAGAUAGAGCGUUCCCCUUCGGGGGACAGAGUGACAGGUGGUGCAUGGUUGUCGUCAGCUCGUGUCGUGAGAUGUUGGGUUAAGUCCCGCAACGAGCGCAACCCUUGAUCUUAGUUGCCAGCAUUUAGUUGGGCACUCUAAGGUGACUGCCGGUGACAAACCGGNGGAAGGUGGGGAUGACGUCAAAUCAUCGAUGCCCCUUAUGACCUGGGCUACGACACGUGCUACAAUGGAUGGUACAAAGGGCUGCAAGACCGCGAGGUCAAGCCAAGUCCCAUAAAACCAUUCUCAGUUCGGAUUGUAGG